rnacentral:rRNA from 1 species
UCUUGGUCAUUUAGAGGAGUAAAGUCGUAACAAGGUUUCCGUAGGUGAACCUGCGGAAGGAUCAUUAUCGAAUCGUAGGCGAGGGUUGUCGCUGGCCUCUCGGGGCAUGUGCACGCCCGAGCCCUUGAAUCCCAAACACCACAUGUGAACCCACCGUAGGCCUUCGGGCCUAUGUCUUAUCAUAUAAUCUGAAUGUCUAAUAGAAUGUAAACCCAUUUCGUUGCCUUGAAAACGUAACGAAAGAAAACUAUACAACUUUCAACAACGGAUCUCUUGGCUCUCGCAUCGAUGAAGAACGCAGCGAAAUGCGAUAAGUAAUGUGAAUUGCAGAUUUUCAGUGAAUCAUCGAAUCUUUGAACGCACCUUGCGCCCCUUGGUAUUCCGAGGGGCAUGCCUGUUUGAGUGUCAUUAAAUCCUCAACCCCUCCGAUUCGUUUCGGUGGGGAUUGGACUUGGAGCGUGCUGGCGAAGGUCGGCUCCUCUUUAAAUGCAUCAGCGGAGAAAAUGCCUUUUGCGCCUCUGGCCGUUCAGCGUGAUAAUGAUGUUGCGCUGCGGUCGAGCUUAAGGUCCGCUUCCAAAGGUCCUCGGACAAAUAUACAUAUGACUUUUGACCUCAAAUCACGUAGGACUACCCGCUGAACUUAAGCAUAUCAAUAAGCGGAGGAAAGGG